rnacentral:rRNA from 1 species
UGCCAGCCGCCGCGGUAAUACGGAGGGUGCAAGCGUUGCUCGGAAUUACUGGGCGUAAAGCGACCGCAGGCGGUCGGGUAGGUCGAGUGUGAAAGCCCGGGGCUCAACCCCGGAACUGCACUCGAAACCCCUCGACUUGAGUAUGGGAGAGGAGGGCGGAAUUCCUGGUGUAGAGGUGAAAUUCGUAGAUAUCAGGAGGAACGCUCGCGGCGAAGGCGGCUCUCUGGCCCAAUACUGACGCUCAUGGUCGAAAGCAUGGGGAGCAAACAGGAUUAGAUA